UCAAGCGAAUAAGUGCAUGUGGUGGAUGCCUUGGCGAUCACAGGCGAUGAAGGACGUAGUAGCUUGCGAAAAGCUGCGGGGAGCUGGCAAACGAGCUUUGAUCCGCAGAUGUCCGAAUGGGGAAACCCGGCCCGUAUGGGUCAUCCCUUGCUGAAUACAUAGGCAAGGGAGGCGAACGCAGUGAACUGAAACAUCUAAGUAGCUGCAGGAAAAGAAAUCAACCGAGAUUCCCAAAGUAGUGGCGAGCGAAAUGGGAACAGCCUUGUACUCUUUAGCAGUAUUGUUAGCGGAACGGAAUGGAAAGUCCGGCCAUAGUGGGUGAUAGCCCCGUACGCGAAAACAGUAUUGUGGAACUAGGUGUACGACAAGUAGGGCGGGACACGUGAAAUCCUGUCUGAAGAUGGGGGGACCAUCCUCCAAGGCUAAAUACUCGUGAUCGACCGAUAGUGAACCAGUACCGUGAGGGAAAGGCGAAAAGAACCCCGGGAGGGGAGUGAAAUAGAUCCUGAAACCGCAUGCAUACAAACAGUCGGAGCCUGGAAACGGGUGACGGCGUACCUUUUGUAUAAUGGGUCAGCGACUUACAUUCAGUGGCAAGCUUAACCGAUUAGGGAAGGCGUAGCGAAAGCGAGUCCGAAUAGGGCGUUCAGUCGCUGGGUGUAGACCCGAAACCAAGUGAUCUAUCCAUGGCCAGGUUGAAGGUGCGGUAACACGUACUGGAGGACCGAACCCACUAACGUUGAAAAGUUAGGGGAUGAGCUGUGGAUAGGGGUGAAAGGCUAAACAAACUUGGAAAUAGCUGGUUCUCUCCGAAAACUAUUUAGGUAGUGCCUCGUGUCUCACCUUCGGGGGUAGAGCACUGUCAUGGUUGGGGGGUCUAUUGCUGAUUACCCCGCCAUAGCAAACUCCGAAUACCGAAGAGUGCAAUCACGGGAGACAGACAUCGGGUGCUAACGUCCGGUGUCAAGAGGGAAACAACCCAGACCGCCAGCUAAGGUCCCUAAGAUUGGCUAAGUGGGAAACGAAGUGGGAAGGCUAAAACAGUCAGGAGGUUGGCUUAGAAGCAGCCACCCUUUAAAGAAAGCGUAAUAGCUCACUGAUCGAGUCGUCCUGCGCGGAAGAUGUAACGGGGCUAAGCCAGUCACCGAAGCUGCGGAUGCACGUAAGUGCAUGGUAGGAGAGCGUUCUGUAAGCCUGUGAAGGUGUCUUGUAAAGGAUGCUGGAGGUAUCAGAAGUGCGAAUGCUGACAUGAGUAGCGAUAAAGGGGGUGAAAGGCCCCCUCGCCGUAAGCCCAAGGUUUCCUACGCAACGUUCAUCGGCGUAGGGUGAGUCGGCCCCUAAGGCGAGGCAGAGAUGCGUAGCUGAUGGGAAGCAGGUUAAUAUUCCUGCACCGUCGUAUGAUGCGAUGGGGGGACGGAUCGCGGAAGGUUGUCCGGGUGUUGGAAGUCCCGGUCCCUACAUUGGAGAUGGCACUUAGGCAAAUCCGGGUGCGUGAUUCAAGGGUGUGGGGCGAGCGACGUUAGGUCGCGAAGCAAUUGGAAGUGGUUCCAAGAAAAGCCUCUAAGCUUCAGUCAUACGAGACCGUACCGCAAACCGACACAGGUGGGCGAGAUGAGUAUUCUAAGGCGCUUGAGAGAACUCGGGAGAAGGAACUCGGCAAAUUGGUACCGUAACUUCGGGAUAAGGUACGCCCUUGUAGUUUGACUGGCUCGCGCCAGAAGGAUGAAGGGGUUGCAAUAAAAUGGUGGCUGCGACUGUUUAAUAAAAACACAGCACUCUGCAAACACGAAAGUGGACGUAUAGGGUGUGACGCCUGCCCGGUGCCGGAAGAUUAAAUGAUGGGGUGCAAGCUCUUGAUUGAAGUCCCGGUAAACGGCGGCCGUAACUAUAACGGUCCUAAGGUAGCGAAAUUCCUUGUCGGGUAAGUUCCGACCUGCACGAAUGGCGUAACGAUGGCCACACUGUCUCCUCCCGAGACUCAGCGAAGUUGAAGUGUUUGUGAUGAUGCAAUCUCCCCGCGGCUAGACGGAAAGACCCCAUGAACCUUUACUGUAGCUUUGCAUUGGACUUUGAACCGAUCUGUGUAGGAUAGGUGGGAGGCUUUGAAACCGGGACGCUAGUUUCGGUGGAGCCGACCUUGAAAUACCACCCUGGUUUGUUUGAGGUUCUAACCUUGGCCCGUGAAUCCGGGUCGGGGACAGUGCAUGGUAGGCAGUUUGACUGGGGCGGUCUCCUCCCAAAGUGUAACGGAGGAGUUCGAAGGUACGCUUGGUACGGUCGGACAUCGUACCUAAAGUGCAAUGGCAAAAGCGUGCUUAACUGCGAGACCGACAAGUCGAGCAGGUGCGAAAGCAGGACAUAGUGAUCCGGUGGUUCUGUAUGGAAGGGCCAUCGCUCAACGGAUAAAAGGUACUCUGGGGAUAACAGGCUGAUACCGCCCAAGAGUUCAUAUCGACGGCGGUGUUUGGCACCUCGAUGUCGGCUCAUCUCAUCCUGGGGCUGUAGCCGGUCCCAAGGGUAUGGCUGUUCGCCAUUUAAAGAGGUACGUGAGCUGGGUUUAAAACGUCGUGAGACAGUUUGGUCCCUAUCUGCCGUGGGCGUUGGAAUCUUGACGGGGGCUGCUCCUAGUACGAGAGGACCGGAGUGGACGUACCGCUGGUGUACCUGUUGUCUCGCCAGAGGCAUCGCAGGGUAGCUAUGUACGGAAGAGAUAACCGCUGAAAGCAUCUAAGCGGGAAACUCGCCUGAAGAUGAGGAUUCCCUGGAGACUUGAUCUCCCUGAAGGGUCGUUCGAGACCAGGACGUUGAUAGGCUGGGUGUGGAAGCGCAGUAAUGUGUUCAGCUAACCAGUACUAAUUGCCCGUGCGGCUUGAUCC
rnacentral:rRNA from 1 species